rnacentral:ncRNA from 1 species
AUUCAUAGCGGGAAGCUCCUUCGUAUAUCCUCGAUAAUAUGGUUCGAGAGUCUCUACCGGGUUACCGUAAAUAACCCGACUAUGAAGGCAGAAGUUAGUAGA